rnacentral:lncRNA from 1 species
AUGACAAGUUUAGGUGACUGUACACAGCUGACCAUCACCCGUCACACAGAACAUCCCGUCACACGGAACAUCUCACCUGUCACACAGAACAUCCCUUCACCCCUCACACGGAACAUCCUGUCACCUGCUGACACGGAACAUCCGAUCACCCGUCACACGGAACAUCCCAUCACACAGAACAUCCCAUCACUUGUCACAUCUCACCCAUGACACGGAACAUCCCGUCAGCCAUCACAUCUCACCCGUCACACAGAACAUCCCUUCACCCAUCACACGGAACAUCCCAUCACCCAUCACAUCUCACCCGUCACAUGGAACAUCCCUUCACCCAUCACAUGGAACAUCCCGUCAUCUGCUCACAUGGAACAUCCCAUCACCCAUCACACGGAACAUCCCAUCAC